GGGUAUCCACAAAAUUACUACAUUUGUACUACAAUUAAACUACAAUCUUAUGUCAAAAAAAAUAUUGAGAACAAAAUUUGCUCUUCAUCUACAAAAUUUCUUCAAAAAAAACUACAAAUAAAUUACAAUUGCACCCACAAUGUCAACUUUAUUGUCUUCCAUCACGACGUACUAGUAGAGGGCCUUGUGUCAUGUUCCUUUAAAUGAACCAUUGACAAACUUUUUUGGCAUCUGUCUCAAGGAUUAAUAUUGUCUCUAACCUUUUUCUUUCUUCUGUACCCGAAUAUAUAGAUGAAACCAUACUUGCAGCCAACACUUAUCCAAUUUUGACUCCUUUUAUGUUUGAAAAAACUCACAGCAGCCAUGCUUGCAACACUUCCCCAUUCAUCGGCUUCCAAGAUUUUCAAAAUCAGGUGUCACUUGUUUCAUCUAGGUAUAAAGUUUGACCAGAAAAACUUUAUGAAUCCUUUUGAUUAUGCUUCGUAGGCACAACCAUAAGGAUUUUAUCAAUAACGAAGUUGAUAGAAAUUUUCCACAAGAAAAAUACUACUUCCAUAUAUAAUUAAUGCAAGAGACAAGAAAAAUG
rnacentral:lncRNA from 1 species